rnacentral:rRNA from 1 species
UACGUAGGGUGCAAGCGUUAAUCGGAAUUACUGGGCGUAAAGCGUGCGCAGGCGGUGAUGUAAGACAGUUGUGAAAUCCCCCGGGCUCAACCUGGGAACUGCCCUCCAAACUGUUUGACUUGAGUCCGGGAGAGGUGAGUGGAAUUCCCAGUGUAGCGGUGAAAUGCGUAGAUAUUGGGAGGAACACCAGUGGCGAAGGCGGCUCACUGGACCGGAACUGACGCUGAGGCGCGAAAGCGUGGGGAGCAAACAGG